AGUGAACGCUGGCGGCAUGCCUAACACAUGCAAGUCGAACGAACCCUUCGGGGUCAGUGGCGCACGGGUGCGUAACACGUGGGAAUCUGCCCUUUGCUUCGGAAUAACAGUUAGAAAUGACUGCUAAUACCGGAUGAUGUCGAAAGACCAAAGAUUUAUCGGCAAAGGAUGAGCCCGCGUAGGAUUAGCUAGUUGGUGGGGUAAUGGCUCACCAAGGCGACGAUCCUCAGCUGGUCUGAGAGGAUGAUCAGCCACACUGGGACUGAGACACGGCCCAGACUCCUACGGGAGGCAGCAGUGGGGAAUCUUGGACAAUGGGCGCAAGCCUGAUCCAGCCAUGCCGCGUGAGUGGAGAAGGCCUUAGGGUUGUAAAACUCUUUCGCCGGAGAAGAUAAUGACGGUAUCCGGAGAAGAAGUCCCGGCUAACUUCGUGCCAGCAGCCGCCGUAAAAC
rnacentral:rRNA from 1 species